GCUAUGCCCGAUCUCGUCUGAUCUCGGAAGCUAAGCAGGUUUGGGCCUGGUUAGUACUUGGAUGGGAGACCGCCUGGGAAUACCAGGUGCUUUAAGCUU
rnacentral:rRNA from 1 species